GAUACAAUUGAGAGCGAAUUGUUAAUCUGUUCUCAUUUUGUAGUUUGUUUAUUACAUAUGUGGACUAGACAUCUACUGGACUCCGUGGCGUUCAAAUAUUCUUUUUCUCGACUAAAUUGGGUGAAUGGUUAUAAAAAAAUUCUACUGCAAAAAAUUAUCAGCCAAUGUGUGCGCACUUUGGAAAUGGUGGGUUAUCUCUAUCUUUCUCGCUCUCUCUGUUUACUGUCAAAUCAACUUUGAUUCCUUGGGGGUUGCAGAGUAAAUUGGCGUUUCAUGUCUCACAUGCUCGCCGCACGAUAUCGCAAGUGCUACGGUGAACUUGUAACCUAAAAGUCUCUUUUUUUUCUUCGCUGUUCGUCUGAUAUUACCUACAAUAAGAUAUCCUUUCAAUUCAUUAUCAGGCUACUCUUCUAUCUUGAUAUUGUGCCAGCUGAAAUGAAUCAUUGUUAAUGACGUUUAAGAAAGAAGCCUAAAGUCUUGGCAGUUACUUAUACUCUGGGCAUGCACGGCAUUUUUUUUUUUUUUUGGGUCUAAAGGAACUUGGUGUCUAAGUUCAAAAAUUUUGUUUUCUUAACAAUCUUUCUAUCUAUUCAUAUAUUUAUGCAACCUGCUAUGGACUGUGAGGCUUAUUUCUACUUCAUGCAAGGUCACCGAAUUUGCCAUUAAACAAUUGCGUGGGUAGCAAUUAUGUUUUCCUUUUAAUAUGUGUUGCAGUUAAUUCUGUCAUUUAGCAAUGGGAUUUUAUAGCAAAUAAAUAGCAUAAAUACCACAGGCUGCAGCAGCUGCUGCCGUGACAUAUGGAGCCAUUUUCUAACAGUACAAACUAGCAUUUGUAUUAACUCUUGAUUUAAUUUAAGUGAUAAAGAGUUACUGAUUAAAGUUUUGACUUUCUUAUGUCAAUGACUGUGAACUAAUAUCAGUUAACCAAAGGAUCAAUCCCUGGGACGGUUUUCUCUUGCAGGAUGACAUCGUGCUAUACAGCUGCACUUGAUGAAUAAAACAAAUUAAUGAAAAGUGACAGCCAAAUGAUUGUUCAGACUAAAUCAAGUUGGAGUACGAAUGACAACUGAGUCGAGAAUUUACCUUCAUAAACGAGAAAUAUAUUCCUGGUUGCUUAUGUUCUUCAUUUCCUGAAGCUCCCUUGGAUAAUAUUUCGUCUUCAAAAAAUCCAAAAGGGUCAUAAUUGCGUGUCCGUCUGUGUUGCCGAAUGAAACAAGCCAAAUGGGACCGGGUGAAAAGGGUUACAUAGCUGCAGCACUGUCAAAUAACCAUUUUCUGAUCUGGUGAUUCUAUAUGGCCCCUUAAUGGCUAUGGUUGCAAUGCGAGUUGGAAUACAAUAAAAUCUGCAGGCUUUUUAGCAGUAUCCCACUACAUGACUGUGCUAGGGGACAAGCGUGAAUCCUUGCGUUAUGAACAUUGAUAAGACUCUGUUUCAGGAAAAAGGAUCCCAACAUCUGUCUCUUGCCUGAGGAUCAUUACCCAAACGAGAAAUACAACUAACCCUUAACAAAAAUAGGAUUUCUGAUCUAGAGCACCCCUCCUCGCCGGAAAAAAUAGAGAUCAAUCCGUACAGAUAAAAAGUUAAGGACGUGAGGGAUCACGCCUUAAUUAAGUUAGAUUAUUACCAUGAGUUACAGCUGAGUAUGACUGUUUGUAUCUAAGUGCUCUCUCUCUCUCUCUCUCUCUCUCUCAGAGACUGCACAGGUUAAAGUUUUCUGUUAUUUAUGGAAUAUUUUAUGCACUUGAGAUGCCCAUUAUUGUACUUCAUCUUCUUGAAAAAUCAAAUAUUAAGAUAAAUCAAAUCAUGUAUGUAAAGUUGAUUUUAUACUAUGUGAUUAUCUUAUUGAUUUUGUGC